rfam:Gossypium arboreum cultivar AKA8401 contig_110803_1, whole genome shotgun sequence.
AUUCUGAGAUGAGGGCAUUUCCAUAAUAAUUCUUUGUACCUUUCCCAUGCCUCAUACAAUGACGCAUCAUCCAUUUGUUGGAAAGCAGUGAUCUCAUUCCUUAACUU